UACACUUUAGUAUAUAAUGUAUAAGAGUUUUUGAUACUUUGGGAAAUAAUUUGUUUUAUUAAGUGUAU
rnacentral:tRNA from 1 species